CCUACGGGUGGCAGCCGUGAGGAAUAUUGGUCAAUGGACGAGAGUCUGAACCAGCCAAGUAGCGUGAAGGAUGACUGCCCUAUGGGUUGUAAACUUCUUUUAUAUGGGAAUAAAAUGUUCCACGUGUGGGAGUUUGUAUGUCCCAUAUGAAUAAUGAUUGGCUAACUCCGUGCCAGCAUCCGCGGUAAUACGGAGGAUCCGAGCGUUAUCCGGAUGGAUUGGGUUUAAAGGGAGCGUAGGUGGAUUGUUAAGUCAGUUGUGAAAGUUUGCGGCUAAACCGUAAAAUUGCAGUUGAAACUGGCAGUCUUGAGUACAGUAGAGGUGGGCGGAAUUCGUGGUGUAGCGGGGAAAGGCUUAGAUAUCACGAAGAACUCCGAUUGCGAAGGCAGUUCACUGGACUGCAACUGACACUGAGGCUCGAAAGUGUGGGUAUCAAACAGGAUUAGAUACCCCAGUAGUC
rnacentral:rRNA from 1 species